UAAAAACCCCGACUUCGGAAGGGGUGUAUUUAAUAGAUACAAAACCAAUGCCCUUCGGGGCUCUUUGGUGAUUCAUGAUAACUAUACGAAUCGCACGGCCUUGCGCCGGCGAUGGUUCAUUCAAAUUUCUUCCCUAUCAACUUUCGAUGUUUGGGUAUUGGCCAAACAUGGUUGCAACGGGUAACGGAGGGUUAGGGCUCGACCCCGGAGAAGGAGCCUGAGAAACGGCUACUACAUCCAAGGAAGGCAGCAGGCGCGCAAAUUACCCAAUCCCGACUCGGGGAGGUAGUGACAAUAAAUACUGAUACAGGGCCCUUUCGGGCCUUGUAAUUGGAAUGAGUACAAUUUAAAUCCCUUAACGAGGAACAAUUGGAGGGCAAGUCUGGUGCCAGCAGCCGCGGUAAUUCCAGCUCCAAUAGCGUAUAUUAAAGUUGUUGUGGUUAAAAAGCUCGUAGUUGAACCUUGGGCCUGGCUGGCCGGUCCGCCUCACCGCGUGCACUGGUCCGGCCGGGCCUUUCCCUCUGUGGAACCCCAUACCCUUCACUGGGCGUGGCGGGGAAACAGGACAUUUACUUU
rnacentral:rRNA from 1 species